rnacentral:rRNA from 1 species
UACGAAGGGUGCAAGCGUUAUCCGGAUUCAUUGGGUUUAAAGGGUGCGUAGGUGGGGCGUUAAGUCAGUGGUGAAAGCCCGCAGCUCAACUGUGGAAUUGCCAUUGAUACUGGCGCUCUUGAGUGCGCUUGAAGUAGGCGGAAUGUGCCGUGUAGCGGUGAAAUGCUUAGAUAUGGCACAGAACACCAAUUGCGAAGGCAGCUUACUAAGGCGAUACUGACGCUGAGGCACGAAAGCGUGGGGAUCAAACAGGAUUAGAAACCCCAGUAGUCC